rnacentral:rRNA from 1 species
GGUUAAGUUAGAAAGGGCGCACGGUGGAUGCCUUGACACUAGGAGUCGAUGAAGGACGGGACUAACGCCGAUAUGCUUCGGGGAGCUGUAAGUAAGCUUUGAUCCGAAGAUUUCCGAAUGGGGAAACCCACCAUACGUAAUGGUAUGGUAUCCUUAUCUGAAUACAUAGGGUAAGGAAGACAGACCCAGGGAACUGAAACAUCUAAGUACCUGGAGGAAGAGAAAGCAAAUGCGAUUUCCUGAGUAGCGGCGAGCGAAACGGAACAUAGCCCAAACCAAGAGGCUUGCCUCUUGGGGUUGUAGGACAUUCUAUACGGAGUUACAAAGGAACGAGGUAGACGAAGCGACCUGGAAAGGUCCGUCGUAGAGGGUAACAACCCCGUAGUCGAAACUUCGUUCUCUCUUGAAUGUAUCCUGAGUACGGCGGAACACGUGAAAUUCCGUCGGAAUCUGGGAGGACCAUCUCCCAAGGCUAAAUACUCCCUAGUGAUCGAUAGUGAACCAGUACCGUGAGGGAAAGGUGAAAAGCACCCCGGAAGGGGAGUGAAAGAGAUCCUGAAACCGUGUGCCUACAAAUAGUCAGAGCCCGUUAAAGGGUGAUGGCGUGCCUUUUGUAGAAUGAACCGGCGAGUUACGAUCCCGUGCGAGGUUAAGCUGAAGAGGCGGAGCCGCAGCGAAAGCGAGUCUGAAUAGGGCGUUUAGUACGUGGUCGUAGACCCGAAACCAGGUGAUCUACCCAUGUCCAGGGUGAAGUUCAGGUAACACUGAAUGGAGGCCCGAACCCACGCACGUUGAAAAGUGCGGGGAUGAGGUGUGGGUAGCGGAGAAAUUCCAAUCGAACCUGGAGAUAGCUGGUUCUCCCCGAAAUAGCUUUAGGGCUAGCCUUAAGUGUAAGAGUCUUGGAGGUAGAGCACUGAUUGGACUAGGGGUCCUCAUCGGAUUACCGAAUUCAGUCAAACUCCGAAUGCCAAUGACUUAUCCUUAGGAGUCAGACUGCGAGUGAUAAGAUCCGUAGUCAAAAGGGAAACAGCCCAGACCGCCAGCUAAGGUCCCAAAGUGUGUAUUAAGUGGAAAAGGAUGUGGAGUUGCUUAGACAACUAGGAUGUUGGCUUAGAAGCAGCCACCAUUUAAAGAGUGCGUAAUAGCUCACUAGUCGAGUGACUCUGCGCCGAAAAUGUACCGGGGCUAAAUACACCACCGAAGCUGCGGAUUGAUACCGAAUGGUAUCAGUGGUAGGGGAGCGUUCUAAGGACAGUGAAGUCAGACCGGAAGGACUGGUGGAGUGCUUAGAAGUGAGAAUGCCGGUAUGAGUAGCGAAAGACGGGUGAGAAUCCCGUCCACCGAAUGCCUAAGGUUUCCUGAGGAAGGCUCGUCCGCUCAGGGUUAGUCAGGACCUAAGCCGAGGCCGACAGGCGUAGGCGAUGGACAACAGGUUGAUAUUCCUGUACCACCUCUUUAUCGUUUGAGCAAUGGAGGGACGCAGAAGGAUAGAAGAAGCGUGCGAUUGGUUGUGCACGUCCAAGCAGUUAGGCUGAUAAGUAGGCAAAUCCGCUUAUCGUGAAGGCUGAGCUGUGAUGGGGAAGCUCCUUAUGGAGCGAAGUCUUUGAUUCCCCGCUGCCAAGAAAAGCUUCUAGCGAGAUAAAAGGUGCCUGUACCGCAAACCGACACAGGUAGGCGAGGAGAGAAUCCUAAGGUGUGCGAGAGAACUCUGGUUAAGGAACUCGGCAAAAUGACCCCGUAACUUCGGGAGAAGGGGUGCUUUCUUAACGGAAAGCCGCAGUGAAUAGGCCCAAGCGACUGUUUAGCAAAAACACAGCUCUCUGCGAAGCCGUAAGGCGAAGUAUAGGGGGUGACACCUGCCCGGUGCUGGAAGGUUAAGGAGAGGGGUUAGCGUAAGCGAAGCUCUGAACUGAAGCCCCAGUAAACGGCGGCCGUAACUAUAACGGUCCUAAGGUAGCGAAAUUCCUUGUCGGGUAAGUUCCGACCCGCACGAAAGGUGUAACGAUUUGGGCACUGUCUCAACCAGAGACUCGGUGAAAUUAUAGUACCUGUGAAGAUGCAGGUUACCCGCGACAGGACGGAAAGACCCCGUGGAGCUUUACUGUAGCCUGAUAUUGAAUUUUGGUACAGUUUGUACAGGAUAGGCGGGAGCCUUUGAAACCGGAGCGCUAGCUUCGGUGGAGGCGCUGGUGGGAUACCGCCCUGACUGUAUUGAAAUUCUAACCUACGGGUCUUAUCGACCCGGGAGACAGUGUCAGGUGGGCAGUUUGACUGGGGCGGUCGCCUCCUAAAGUGUAACGGAGGCGCCCAAAGGUUCCCUCAGAAUGGUUGGAAAUCAUUCGUAGAGUGCAAAGGCAUAAGGGAGCUUGACUGCGAGACCUACAAGUCGAGCAGGGACGAAAGUCGGGCUUAGUGAUCCGGUGGUUCCGCAUGGAAGGGCCAUCGCUCAACGGAUAAAAGCUACCCCGGGGAUAACAGGCUUAUCUCCCCCAAGAGUCCACAUCGACGGGGAGGUUUGGCACCUCGAUGUCGGCUCAUCGCAUCCUGGGGCUGUAGUCGGUCCCAAGGGUUGGGCUGUUCGCCCAUUAAAGCGGUACGCGAGCUGGGUUCAGAACGUCGUGAGACAGUUCGGUCCCUAUCCGUCGUGGGCGUAGGAAAUUUGAGAGGAGCUGUCCUUAGUACGAGAGGACCGGGAUGGACGCACCGCUGGUGUACCAGUUGUUCUGCCAAGGGCAUAGCUGGGUAGCUAUGUGCGGAAGGGAUAAGUGCUGAAAGCAUCUAAGCAUGAAGCCCCCCUCAAGAUGAGAUUUCCCAUAGCGUAAGCUAGUAAGAUCCCUGAAAGAUGAUCAGGUUGAUAGGUUCGAGGUGGAAGCAUGGUGACAUGUGGAGCUGACGAAUACUAAUAGAUCGAGGACUUAACCAU